rnacentral:rRNA from 1 species
GCGUAAGCUAAUUGUAUUAAUUAAUACAAUAUCGAUUAUGUCGGAUAAAGUUCUAGAUAGAAUAAUGAUAAUGACAAUUUUCUAUCUAUAUGUCUUGGCCAAAUCUCGUGCCAGCAGCCGCGGUAAUACGAGGAAGACUAGUGUUAUUCAUCUUUAAUAGGUUUAAAGGGUACCUAGACGGUACUUUUAGCCCAAAACAGGGUACGGAUUUACUAGAGUUUUAUGUGAGAAGGGGAGUACUCAUGGAGUAGAGAUGAAAUUUUGUAAUACUAUGGGGUAACUGGUAGAGGCGAAAGCAACCUUCUAUGUAUAAACUGACGUUGAGGGACGAAGGCCCGGGUAGCAAACAGGAUUAGAUACCCUAGUGUCCAGGCAGAAAAUUAUGAAUGUCAUAGACUAGACUGGGACGGUAAACUUCAAAUAUGAAGGGAAAUAGGAGAAUUCCAUAACAACCGUAAAGCCAUAUUUGCUUCAGUAUAGCAAUGUUAAAACUAAAUAGGUGGCAGCUUAUUUAAUUAAAUGUGUUAUGAGCAGAAAUUUGGAUUUGAAAUUAUAUACUUUUUAAUAUAAUAUGUCCCUUUUUGUUAGUCUAUAAAUAAAAAGGGGAAGCAUUCCACCUCAAGAGUAAUGUGGCAACACGGGAACUGAAAUCAUUAGA